rnacentral:misc_RNA from 1 species
GAUGAAGAACGUAGCGAAAUGCGAUAUGUAAUGUGAAUUGCAAAUUCAGUGAAUCAUCGAGUCUUUGAACGCACAUUGCGCCCCCUGGUAUUCCGGGGGGCAUGCCUGUCCGAGCGUCAUUGCUGCCCUCAAGCACGGCUUGUGUGUUGGGCCCCGUCCUCCGAUCCCGGGGGACGGGCCCGAAAGGCAGCGGCGGCACCGCGUCCGGUCCUCGAGCGUAUGGGGCUUUGUCACCCGCUCUGUAGGCCCGGCCGGCGCUUGCCGAUCAACCCAAAUUUUUAUCCAGGUUGACCUCGGAUCAGGUAGGGAUACCCGCUGAACUUAAGCAUAUCAAUAAGCGGAGGA